rnacentral:rRNA from 1 species
CGGCAUGCCUAACACAUGCAAGUCGAACGAAGCCUUCGGGCUUAGUGGCGGACGGGUGAGUAACGCGUGGGAACCUGCCCUUGAGUGGGGAACAACCUUUGGAAACGAAGGCUAAUACCGCAUACGCUCUGAGGAGGAAAGGCUUCGGCCGCUCUUGGAUGGUCCCGCGUUAGAUUAGCUUGUUGGUGGGGUAACGGCCUACCAAGGCGACGAUCUAUAGCUGGUCUGAGAGGAUGAUCAGCCACACUGGGACUGAGACACGGCCCAGACUCC